GUGUUGAAGCGUUACCGUGAGGAGGCGUGGAGUGUGUGCGAGUGAGAAUGCAGGCAUGAGUAACGAAUUGGAAGGUGAGAAUCCUUCCCGCCGGAUGACUAAGGGUUCCUGGGUCAAGUUCGUCUUCCCAGGGUGAGUCGGGACCUAAGGCGAGGCCGACAGGCGUAGUCGAUGGAUAACCAGUUGAUAUUCUGGUACCCGAGUAUAUGCGCCCCUGAUAAAGCACUGAUACUAACCACCGUAAGCUGUUGUGAUUGGCCUUCGGGUUAACAUGGUGGCAAGCCGUGGGGCCUGAUGUGUGGUUCAAGCGAUGGGGUGACACAGUGGGGUAGCCAUGCCGCUUAGUGGAUUGUUGGUGUAAGCGUGUAGGUGAUGGUGUAGGUAAAUCCGCACUUGUUAGCUGAGACGUGAUGCGUAGCCUUAAUUGGUGAAGUUGGUGAUCCCGUGCUGUCGAGAAAAGCCUCUAGCGAUGUAUAUACUCGGCCCGUACCCCAAACCGACACAGGUAGUCAGGUUGAAAAUACUAAGGCGUUCGGGUGAACUGUGGUUAAGGAACUCGGCAAAAUGCCCCCGUAACUUCGGGAGAAGGGGGACCCUAUGGCGUGAACACCCAUUUGCGGUGGGAAGCGUUGUGGGGUCGCAGAGAAUAGAGGGAAGCGACUGUUUAUCAAAAACACAGGUCCAUGCGAAGACGUUAAGUUGAUGUAUAUGGACUGACGCCUGCCCGGUGCUGGAAGGUUAAGAGGACCGGUUAAUCAAGCUUUGCUUGGUGAAGCUGAGAAUUUAAGCCCCAGUAAACGGCGGUGGUAACUAUAACCAUCCUAAGGUAGCGAAAUUCCUUGUCGGGUAAGUUCCGACCUGC
rnacentral:rRNA from 1 species